UACAGAGGUCUCAAGCGUUGUUUGGAUUCAUUGGGCGUAAAGGGCGCGUAGGCGGCCUUCUAAGUCGGACGUGAAAUCCCUCGGCUUAACCGAGGAACUGCGUCCGAUACUGAAAGGCUUGAAUCCGGGAGAGGGAUGUGGAAUUCCAGGUGUAGCGGUGAAAUGCGUAGAUAUCUGGAGGAACACCGGUGGCGAAGGCGGCAUCCUGGACCGGCAUUGACGCUGAGGCGCGAAAGCUAGGGGAGCAAACGGG
rnacentral:rRNA from 1 species